AACGUACGCUGGCGGCACGCCUAACACAUGCAAGUCGAACGCAGUAGCAAUACUGAGUGGCAAACGGGUGAGUAUAAUGUGGGAAUCUGCCUUUUGGUUCGGAAUAACACGAGGAAACUUGUGCUAAUACCGGAUAAGCCCUUACGGGGAAAGUUUUAAUGCCAAAAGAUGAGCCCGCACUUGAUUAGCUAGUUGGUAAGGUAAUAGCUUACCAAGGCAACGAUCAAUAGCUGUUCUUAGAGGAAGACCAGCCACAUUGGGACUGAGACACGGCCCAAACUCCUACGGGAGGCAGCAGUGGGGAAUCUUGCACAAUGGAGGAAACUCUGAUGCAGCGAUGCCGCGUGAGUGAAGAAGGCCUUUGGGUUGUAAAGCUCUUUCGUCGGGGAAGAAAAUGACUGUACCCGAAUAAGAAGGUCCGGCUAACUUCGUGCCAGCAGCCGCGGUAAUACGAAGGGACCUAGCGUAGUUCGGAAUUACUGGGCUUAAAGAGUUCGUAGGUGGUUGAAAAAGUUGGUGGUGAAAUCCCAGAGCUUAACUCUGGAACUGCCAUCAAAACUUUUCAGCUAGAGUAUGAUAGAGGAAAGCAGAAUUUCUAGUGUAGAGGUGAAAUUCGUAGAUAUUAGAAAGAAUACCAAUUGCGAAGGCAGCUUUCUGGAUCAUUACUGACACUGAGGAACGAAAGCAUGGGUAGCGAAGAGGAUUAGAUACCCUCGUAGUCCAUGCCGUAAACGAUGUGUGUUAGACGUUGGAAAUUUAUUUUCAGUGUCGCAGGGAAACCGAUAAACACACCGCCUGGGGAGUACGACCGCAAGGUUAAAACUCAAAUGAAUUGACGGGGACCCGCACAAGUAGUGGAGCAUGUGGUUUAAUUCGAAGAUACGCGCAGAACCUUACCAACACUUGACAUGUUCGUCGCGACUCUAAGAGAUUAGAGUUUUCGGUUCGGCCGGACGAAACACAGGUGCUGCAUGGCUGUCGUCAGCUCGUGUCGUGAGAUGUUGGGUUAAGUCCCGCAACGAGCGCAACCCUCACUUUUAGUUGCCAUCAUUAAGUUGGGCACUCUGAAAGAACUGCCAGUGAUAAGCUGGAGGAAGGUGGGGAUGACGUCAAGUCCUCAUGGCCCUUACGUGUUGGGCUACACACGUGCUACAAUGG
rnacentral:rRNA from 1 species